rnacentral:rRNA from 1 species
GUUGCCUGGAAACUAAAUAGAAGUUUAGCCUCUAUUUAUCUCCUGCCCAAACGUCUAUCACAAACAUAGGUCCAGAGAUCCUUAGAGAGUUAUUAAAAAGGGGUACAGCCCUUUUUAACAAAGACACAACUUUACAGAGCGGAUAAUAAUCAUAAAUAAAUUAGGUAGGCGCCUAGGUGGGCCUAAAAGCAGCCACCCUUAAAGAAAGCGUUAAAGCUCCGACGCAUCCUAACACCCGUAAUACCGACAAUAAAACUACACUCCCUCAACACUACCAGGCCAUUCUAUUAAUUAAUAGAAGAGAUUAUGCUAAAAUGAGUAAUCAGAGAAUGCACUUCUCUCCCCGCACACGUGUAAACCGGAUCGGACAACCCACCGGAAAUUAACGGCCCCAAACCAAGAGGGUAUUAAGAACUAAAAAAACAACAAGAAAGCCCCUUAAACUUCAACCCGUUUUCCCCACACUGGAGUGCCCCACGGGAAAGACUAAAAGGGGAAGAAGGAACUCGGCAAAAAAUAUCCUAAGCCUCGCCUGUUUACCAAAAACAUCGCCUCUUGAACCUCUAUAAGAGGUCCCGCCUGCCCUGUGACUUAAGUUUAACGGCCGCGGUAUCUUG